GAGCCUUGAAUCUUGAACGCUAGGUGCUUGCUUCUAAGAAUGUUUUGGGGAGGAAGAAAUGGAAGAUUUCUACUAGGUUAGAACAAUUUUAGGGUUAUAAAAUGGGUUGAGGAAGUUAGGCGAGGUGAAAGGACUAGUUUGUUCUUGAUUUAAUAAGAGAAAAAAGAAUUUUUACGUCAGGGAGGUAUGCUUCGCGCCUCGCUGCCCAACGCGCGGCUG
rnacentral:lncRNA from 1 species